CCUACGGGAGGCAGCAGUCGAGAAUCAUUCACAAUGGGGGAAACCCUGAUGGUGCGACGCCGCGUGGGGGAAUGAAGGUCUUCGGAUUGUAAACCCCUGUCAUGUGGGAGCAAAUUAAAAAGAUAGUACCACAAGAGGAAGAGACGGCUAACUCUGUGCCAGCCGCCGCGGUAAUACAGAGGUCUCAAGCGUUGUUCGGAAUCACUGGGCGUAAAGCGUGCGUAGGCUGUUUCGUAAGUCGUGUGUGAAAGGCGCGGGCUCAACCCGCGGACGGCACAAGAUACUGCGAGACUAGAGUAAUGGAGGGGGAACCGGAAUUCUCGGUGUAGCAGUGAAAUGCGGAGAUAUCGAGAGGAACACUCGUGGCGAAGGCGGGUUCCUGGACAUUAACUGACGCUGAGGCACGAAGGCCAGGGGAGCGAAAGGGAUUAGAUACCCCAGUAGUC
rnacentral:rRNA from 1 species